UGCAGUCGAACGAUGAUCCCCAGCUUGCUGGGGGGAUUAGUGGCGAACGGGUGAGUAACACGUGAGUAACCUGCCCUUGACUCUGGGAUAAGCGUUGGAAACGACGUCUAAUACCGGAUAUGACUCCUGGCCGCAUGGUCUGGGGGUGGAAAGAUUUUUUGGUCAAGGAUGGACUCGCGGCCUAUCAGGUAGUUGGUGAGGUAAUGGCUCACCAAGCCGACGACGGGUAGCCGGCCUGAGAGGGUGACCGGCCACACUGGGACUGAGACACGGCCCAGACUCCUACGGGAGGCAGCAGUGGGGAAUAUUGCACAAUGGGCGAAAGCCUGAUGCAGCAACGCCGCGUGAGGGACGACGGCCUUCGGGUUGUAAACCUCUUUUAGUAGGGAAGAAGGGAGCUUGCUCUUGACGGUACCUGCAGAAAAAGCACCGGCUAACUACGUGCCAGCAGCCGCGGUAAUACGUAGGGUGCAAGCGUUGUCCGGAAUUAUUGGGCGUAAAGAGCUCGUAGGCGGUUUGUCGCGUCUGCUGUGAAAUCUGGGGGCUCAACCCCCAGCCUGCAGUGGGUACGGGCAGACUAGAGUGCGGUAGGGGAGAUUGGAAUUCCUGGUGUAGCGGUGGAAUGCGCAGAUAUCAGGAGGAACACCGAUGGCGAAGGCAGAUCUCUGGGCCGUAACUGACGCUGAGGAGCGAAAGCAUGGGGAGCGAACAGGAUUAGAUACCCUGGUAGUCCAUGCCGUAAACGUUGGGAACUAGAUGUAGGGGCCAUUCCACGGUUUCUGUGUCGCAGCUAACGCAUUAAGUUCCCCGCCUGGGGAGUACGGCCGCAAGGCUAAAACUCAAAGGAAUUGACGGGGGCCCGCACAAGCGGCGGAGCAUGCGGAUUAAUUCGAUGCAACGCGAAGAACCUUACCAAGGCUUGACAUAUACCGGAAACGUCCAGAGAUGGUCGCCCCGCAAGGUCGGUAUACAGGUGGUGCAUGGUUG
rnacentral:rRNA from 1 species